rnacentral:ncRNA from 18 species
AAUAGAAACAGCUUAUAUGGUGCCGAUGCAUAACGUAUGCGGCUUAAUAGGGAAGAUCGAUGAGAAUUCGACGCGGUCCCGCCACUGUAACGCAGAGCCGGCAAUCAAGGAAGUAGUCCACUGUCAACGAUUUUAGACAGGAAGGACGAUUGUCAAGCGAUGAAGCGAAGCCAGGAGACCUGCCAUGUAAGUGCUCUAUAUU